GAGACCCUUGCCGAUAAUUGCUAGCCGAGGCAGCAAUGCCGCGGAGGCUAGUUAUCGGGACUGCCGCUGCUAAAGCGGAGGAAGGAGAGGGCCACGGCAGGUCAGUAUGCCCCGAAACUCCUGGGCCACACGCGGGCUGCAAUGGUAGGGACAGUGGGUUCCGACCUCGACAGAGGAAGGCAAUCCUCAAACCCUACCCCAGUUGUGAUUGAGGGCUGAAACCCGCCCUCAUGAAUAUGGAAUCCCUAGUAACCGCGUGUCAUCAUCGCGCGGUGAAUAC
rnacentral:rRNA from 1 species